rnacentral:rRNA from 1 species
GUAGUCAUAUGCUUGUCUCAAAGAUUAAGCCAUGCAUGUCUCAGUACAAGCCAUAUUAAGGUGAAACCGCGAAAGGCUCAUUAAAUCAGUUAUGGUUCCUUAGAUCGUACACACAUUUACUUGGAUAACUGUGGUAAUUCUAGAGCUAAUACAUGCAAACAGAGCUCCGACCGGAGACGGAAGGAGUGCUUUUAUUAGAUCAAGACCAAUCGGCGGCAAUUUAGUUUUGGCUUUAUUGUUCGUCGCACUUUUUGGUGACUCUGAAUAAACUUUGGCUGAUCGCACGGUCUAGCACCGGCGACGCAUCUUUCAAAUGUCUGCCUUAUCAACUGUCGAUGGUAGGUUCUGCGCCUACCAUGGUUGUAACGGGUAACGGGGAAUUAGGGUUCGAUUCCGAAGAGGGAGCCUGAGAAACGGCUACCACAUCCCAGGAAGGCAGCAGGCGCGCAAAUUACCCACUCCCGGCACGGGGAGGUAGUGACGAAAAAUAACGAUACGGGACUCAUCCGAGGCCCCGUAAUCGGAAUGAGUACACUUUAAAUCCUUUAACAAGGACCAAUUGGAGGGUAAGUCUGGUGCCAGCAGCCGCGGUAAUUCCAGCUCCAAUAGCGUAUA